CGAACGGGUGAGUAACACGUGGGUAACCUGCCUCGCACAUCGGGAUAAGCCUGGGAAACUGGGUCUAAUACCGAAUAUGACUUAUCACCACAUGGCGAUAAGUGGAAAGUUCCGGCGGUGCGAGAUGGACCCGCGGCCUAUCAGCUUGUUGGUGGGGUAAUGGCCUACCAAGGCGACAACGGGUAGCCGGCCUGAGAGGGUGUCCGGCCACACUGGGACUGAGAUACGGCCCAG
rnacentral:rRNA from 1 species